rnacentral:rRNA from 1 species
AUUGAACGCUGGCGGCAUGCCUUACACAUGCAAGUCGAACGGCAGCGCGGGAGCAAUCCUGGCGGCGAGUGGCGAACGGGUGAGUAAUACAUCGGAACGUGCCCAAUCGUGGGGGAUAACGCAGCGAAAGCUGUGCUAAUACCGCAUACGAUCUACGGAUGAAAGCAGGGGAUCGCAAGACCUUGCGCGAAUGGAGCGGCCGAUGGCAGAUUAGGUAGUUGGUGAGGUAAAGGCUCACCAAGCCUUCGAUCUGUAGCUGGUCUGAGAGGACGACCAGCCACACUGGGACUGAGACACGGCCCAGACUCCUACGGGAGGCAGCAGUGGGGAAUUUUGGACAAUGGGCGCAAGCCUGAUCCAGCCAUGCCGCGUGCAGGAUGAAGGCCUUCGGGUUGUAAACUGCUUUUGUACGGAACGAAACGGCUCUUUCUAAUAAAGAGGGCUAAUGACGGUACCGUAAGAAUAAGCACCGGCUAACUACGU